AAAGGAUCAACUUCUGAGUUUCGGAGUUCUCUGGGAUUCCAGGAAAUGAGGUCUAUGUCUGGAAUCUGAAACAUUGCACCCAAAGCGGCCCUGCAAAGUCCCUCCCCACCACUGGGCCCUCUCCCUCCCCAACGGCUACUUUCCUUUUUGUUACUAUUUCCUAAAAGGAAUGACUUUUAUAAAUUUAAAUAAACACUCAUUAUUUUGGAAAGAGAUGUGCAAAAGUAAAUCUGUAUUUAGGCAAUUAUAUUGUAGGAACAUGCAGUUGGAAGGAUUACUGUGACCCUAAGUGAGGGAUGGCUAUCCUGUGCUAACUGGCCCUUCUGAACUGUACUCCUUUAUGUUUUAGCAUUCAUGUUAAAGAUCACUCAAUGAUAUAUGUAAGCUUCUCUUUCAUAUGUCUACGUGACUGUAUGUUCCUACCAUACUACUUGAAUAUUGUAACUUUGUAAUAUGUUUUGAAAUCAGGAAGUGUGAGGCCUCCAGCUUUGUUUCUCUCUCUCAAGAUUGUUUUGGUUAUUUGGGGUUCUUUGAGGUAAAUAUAAAUUUUAGCAUUUUUUAAAUAAUUUUGAAAAAUUUUUUCCAAUUUUGAAAAAAAUGCCAUAGGGAUUUUGUUAGGGAUUCCAUUGAAUCUGUAGAUCACUUUGAAUAGUAUGAACAUUUUAACAAUAUAAAGUCUUCCAGUCAAUAAAGAUGGGAUAUCUUUCCACUUAUUUGUGUCUUCUUUAAUUUCUUUCAGCAGUCCUUUGUAGUUUUCAGUGCCUGUCUCAUGCCUCUUUGGUUGAGUUUAUUCCUAA
rnacentral:lncRNA from 1 species